rnacentral:rRNA from 1 species
AACAAAUGUGGCAAGCGUUGUUCGGAAUCACUGGGCAUAAAGAGCAUGUAGGCGGUGUAGUAAGUUAACUGUGAAAUCCCCCGGCUUAACCGGGGAAUUGCAGUUAAUACUGCUAUACUAGAGUGCAGAAGAGGAGAGUGGAAUUCCAGGUGUAGCGGUGGAAUGCGAAGAUAUCGUGGGAGAAGGCCGGUGGCGAAAGCGACUCUCUGGUCUGCCACUGACGCUGAGAUGCGAGAGCGUAGGUAGCGAACGGGAUUAGAUACCCUCGUA